rnacentral:rRNA from 1 species
UACGUAGGGUGCAAGCGUUGUCCGGAUUUAUUGGGCGUAAAGAGCUCGUAGGCGGUCUGUCGCGUCGGAUGUGAAAACUUGGGGCUCAACCCUGAGCUUGCAUUCGAUACGGGCAGACUAGAGGAUUGCAGGGGAGACUGGAAUUCCUGGUGUAGCGGUGGAAUGCGCAGAUAUCAGGAGGAACACCGGUGGCGAAGGCGGGUCUCUGGGCAAUUACUGACGCUGAGGAGCGAAAGCGUGGGGAGCAAACAGG